CCUACGGGAGGCAGCAGUGAGGAAUAUUGGUCAAUGGACGAGAGUCUGAACCAGCCAAGUAGCGUGAAGGAUGACUGCCCUAUGGGUUGUAAACUUCUUUUAUACGGGAAUAAAGUGAGCCACGUGUGGCUUUUUGUAUGUACCGUAUGAAUAAGGAUCGGCUAACUCCGUGCCAGCAGCCGCGGUAAUACGGAGGAUCCGAGCGUUAUCCGGAUUUAUUGGGUUUAAAGGGAGCGUAGGCGGGUUGUUAAGUCAGUUGUGAAAGUUUGCGGCUCAACCGUAAAAUUGCAGUUGAUACUGGCGACCUUGAGUGCAACAGAGGUAGGCGGAAUUCGUGGUGUAGCGGUGAAAUGCUUAGAUAUCACGAAGAACUCCGAUUGCGAAGGCAGCUUACUGGAUUGUAACUGACGCUGAUGCUCGAAAGUGUGGGUAUCAAACA
rnacentral:rRNA from 1 species